ensembl:miRNA
UGACGUGAGGCUUCGCCUAUAUAUACCCUGUAGAACCGAAUGUGUGUGGAGCUGCCUCAGUCACAGAUUGGGUUCUAGGGGAGUCUAUGGGCGAUGACUAACCAUC